UUCUCUUUACUUGUAUCUAUUAACUCAGGGCACAGGAAGGAUACAGGUGGCUAUAGAAGAGGGCAUGACCAGAAAGUCUAAUACAGACAGUGGUACAAGUUUAAUAAGGAAAGUGGUUAGUUCUAUUCCUACAGCAGACUUCAUUACAUGCCUUUCUGCCUUCUCAAUGAGCCAGCAACUUCCUUGCAUCAGUGGAAAUAGUGGUGACUGUCAAGCAUCGGGGAAAUCAGAAGAUUCAGGCAGUUCAAAUGAGUAUAAAGAUUUAUUGCAAGCUUAAGCGCCUACAAGAAUCUGAGCAAGGGAAAUUAGUGGGAAUCAAGAAGGCAUUCAAGGUGCUGACACUUUUUUCAACUGAUUCAAUAUCCAGAAGAGUUUACAUGGGAAAGCAUGGUCAGCUUGAGACUCUAGGGUGAAAUUAGAAGAUCUGUCAUAUAAAGAAUUAAAAAUUAUCCUAUAAUUUUAUAAGAAAUGUAAUAUGUGUGAUUCUUUCUUAUAUGUAGAAAUUAAUUGUUCAUAUAUUGUUAACUGAUUCAUUACGAUAAA